UACGUAGGUGGCAAGCGUUGUCCGGAUUUACUGGGCGUAAAGAGCGCGCAGGCGGUUGGAUAAGUCGAAUGUGAAAGCCCCCGGCUCAACUGGGGAGGGUCACGCGAUACUGAUCGACUCGAAGGCAGGAGAGGGUAGUGGAAUUCCCGGUGUAGUGGUGAAAUGCGUAGAUAUCGGGAGGAACACCAGUGGCGAAGGCGAACUACCUGGCCUGUUCUUGACGCUGAGGCGCGAAAGCUAGGGGAGCAAACGGG
rnacentral:rRNA from 1 species